GCCUGGGUGGCUCAGUCAGUUAAGCGUCUGACUCCAACUCAGGUCAUGAUCUCACGGUUCGUGCGUGGGUUUGAUCCCCACGUCAGGCU
rnacentral:tRNA from 1 species